rnacentral:rRNA from 1 species
CCUACGGGCGGCAGCAGUGGGGAAUAUUGGGCAAUGGGCGCAAGCCUGACCCAGCAACGCCGCGUGAAGGAAGAAGGCCCUCGGGUUGUAAACUUCUUUUAUUCGGGACGAAACAAAUGACGGUACCGAAUGAAUAAGCCACGGCUAACUACGUGCCAGCAGCCGCGGUAAUACGUAGGUGGCAAGCGUUAUCCGGAUUUACUGGGUGUAAAGGGCGUGUAGGCGGGAGAGCAAGUCAGACGUGAAAUUCCAGGGCUCAACCCUGGAACUGCGUUUGAAACUGUUCUUCUUGAGUGAUGGAGAGGCAGGAGGAAUUCCGGGUGGAGGGGGGAAAUGCGUAGAUAUAACGAGGAACACCAGGUGCGAAGGGGGCCUGCCGGAACAUAACCGACGGUGAGGCGGGAAAGCGGGGGGAGCAAACAGGAUUAGAUACCCGAGUAGUC